GCCAGGUACAGUGGCACAUGCCUGUAGUCCAGCCACUUGGGAGGCUGAGGUGGGAGGAUUACUUGAGCCCAGGAGUUCUGGGCUGUAGUGCACUAUGCCGUGUCUGCACUAAGUUCGGCAUUCAUAUGUUGACCUCCCAGGAGCGGGGGACCACCAGGUUGCCUAAGGAGGGGUGAACUGGUCCAGGUCGGCGACAUAACAGAUCAAAACUCCCGUGCUGAUCAUUAGUGGGAUCACGCCUGUGAAUAGCCACUGCACUCCAGCCUGGGUAAUGCAAGACCCCACCCCCC
ensembl:misc_RNA Metazoa_SRP Metazoan signal recognition particle RNA